GUUGUUCGGAAUUACUGGGCGUAAAGGGCUCGUAGGCGGCCAACUAAGUCGGAUGUGAAAUCCCCAGGCUUAACCUGGGAACUGCAUCCGAUACUGGAUGGCUUGAAUUCGGGAGAGGGAUGCAGAAUUCCAGGUGUAGCGGUGAAAUGCGUAGAUAUCUGGAGGAAUACCGGUGGCGAAGGCGGCAUCCUGGACCGACAUUGACGCUGAUGAGCGAAAGCUAGGGGAGCAAACGGG
rnacentral:rRNA from 1 species